UAGGGAAUCUUCCGCAAUGGGCGAAAGCCUGACGGAGCAACGCCGCGUGAGUGAUGAAGGUCUUCGGAUCGUAAAACUCUGUUAUUAGGGAAGAACAAAUGUGUAAGUAACUAUGCACGUCUUGACGGUACCUAAUCAGAAAGCCACGGCUAACUACGUGCCAGCAGCCGCGGUAAUACGUAGGUGGCAAGCGUUAUCCGGAAUUAUUGGGCGUAAAGCGCGCGUAGGCGGUUUUUUAAGUCUGAUGUGAAAGCCCACGGCUCAACCGUGGAGGGUCAUUGGAAACUGGAAAACGUGAGUGCAGAAGAGGAAAGGGGAAUUCCAUGUGUAGCGGUGAAAUGCGCAGAGAUAUGGAGGAACACCAGUGGCGAAGGCGACUUUCUGGUCUGUAACUGACGCUGAUGUGCGAAAGCGUGGGGAUCAAACAGG
rnacentral:rRNA from 1 species